rfam:Clostridiales bacterium S5-A11 contig009, whole genome shotgun sequence.
AAAAACGAAAUGCCGAAUUUCCUGACGGAAAACGGGGAAACCAAAUCUUGGGGUGAAUCGAAAGAGGAAGACAACCUUAUGCUUCUAACCCGACAGCUAACCUCGUAGGCAAAAGGUAAGGUCCC